UACGGAGGAGGCAAGCGUUAUCCGGAAUUAUUGGGCGUAAAGCGUCCGCAGGUGGCACCUCAAGUCUGCUGUCAAAGACCGGGGCUUAACCCCAGAAAGGCAGUGGAAACUGAAGUGCUAGAGUGCAGUAGGGGUAGAGGGAAUUCCCGGUGUAGCGGUGAAAUGCGUAGAGAUCGGGAAGAACAUCGGUGGCGAAAGCACUCUGCUGGGCCGAAACUGACACUGAGAGACGAAAGCUAGGGGAGCAAAUGGG
rnacentral:rRNA from 1 species